rnacentral:rRNA from 1 species
GACGAACGCUGGCGGCGUGCUUAACACAUGCAAGUCGAACGAAGAGCGAUGGAAGCUUGCUUCUAUCAAUCUUAGUGGCGAACGGGUGAGUAACGCGUAAUCGACCUGCCCUUCAGAGGGGGACAACAGUUGGAAACGACUGCUAAUACCGCAUACGAUCCAAUCUCGGCAUCGAGACUGGAUGAAAGGUGGCCUCUAUUUAUAAGCUAUCACUGAAGGAGGGGAUUGCGUCUGAUUAGCUAGUUGGAGGGGUAACGGCCCACCAAGGCGAUGAUCAGUAGCCGGUCUGAGAGGAUGAACGGCCACAUUGGGACUGAGACACGGCCCAGACUCCUACGGGAGGCAGCAGUGGGGAAUCUUCCGCAAUGGACGAAAGUCUGACGGAGCAACGCCGCGUGAGUGAUGACGGCCUUCGGGUUGUAAAGCUCUGUUAAUCGGGACGAAUGGUUCUUGUGCGAAUAGUGCAAGGAUUUGACGGUACCGGAAUAGAA